rnacentral:rRNA from 1 species
UACGUAGGGCGCAAGCGUUGUCCGGAAUUAUUGGGCGUAAAGAGCUCGUAGGCGGUCUGUUACGUCCGCUGUGAAAACCCAGGGCUUAACCCCUGGGCUUGCAGUGGAUACGGGUAGACUAGAGGCAGGUAGGGGAGAAUGGAAUUCCCGGUGUAGCGGUGAAAUGCGCAGAUAUCGGGAGGAACACCGGUGGCGAAGGCGGUUCUCUGGGCCUGACCUGACGCUGAGGAGCGAAAGCGUGGGGAGCGAACAGG